rnacentral:misc_RNA from 1 species
AAGUCGUAACAAGGUCUCCGUAGGUGAACCUGCGGAGGGAUCAUCAAAGAAUCAUUUACACAGAAAAGAUUGGAGGGGGGGAGAGGAAACUCUUCUUUCCUCUGGUCUUUUCUGAACAAACAAACAUACAUGACUAAAACAUUUGAUUUGGCAAACAAGUAAACAAGAAGUUCUUGGCUGAUAAGUAGCAUUGAUUUGGAAUGUGAAUCUAUAUCAAUACAACUUUCAACAACGGAUCUCUUGGCUCUCA